GACGAACGCUGGCGGCGUGCUUAACACAUGCAAGUCGAACGGAAAGGCCCUGCUUUUGUGGGGUGCUCGAGUGGCGAACGGGUGAGUAACACGUGAGUAACCUGCCCUUGACUUUGGGAUAACUUCAGGAAACUGGGGCUAAUACCGGAUAGGAGCUCCUGCUGCAUGGUGGGGGUUGGAAAGUUUCGGCGGUUGGGGAUGGACUCGCGGCUUAUCAGCUUGUUGGUGGGGUAGUGGCUUACCAAGGCUUUGACGGGUAGCCGGCCUGAGAGGGUGACCGGCCACAUUGGGACUGAGAUACGGCUCAGACUCCUACGGGAGGCAGCAGUGGGGAAUAUUGCACAAUGGGCGGACGCCUGAUGCAGCAACGCCGCGUGCGGGAUGACGGCCUUCGGGUUGUAAACCGCUUUCGCCUGUGACGAAGCGUGAGUGACGGUAAUGGGUAAAGAAGCACCGGCUAACUACGUG
rnacentral:rRNA from 1 species